ensembl:snoRNA
AGUGGUUCCUGAGCGCAGGAAGUGGGCUUUCACGCCAUGGUGUGAGGUGAGCCUCCUCAAACCCAUUAAGACAUCAGCACUUUACCUGUCUGAAG